rnacentral:rRNA from 1 species
AACGAACGCUGGCGGCAUGCCUAACACAUGCCAGUCGAACGAGACCUUCGGGUCUAGUGGCGCACGGGUGCGUAACGCGUGGGAACCUGCCCUUAGGUUCGGAAUAACUCCCCGAAAGGGGUGCUAAUACCGGAUAAUGUCUUCGGACCAAAGAUUUAUCGCCUUUGGAUGGGCCCGCGUUGGAUUAGCUAGUUGGUAGGGUAAAAGCCUACCAAGGCGACGAUCCAUAGCUGGUCUGAGAGGAUGAUCAGCCACACUGGGACUGAGACACGGCCCAGACUCCUACGGGAGGCAGGAGUGGGGAAUAUUGGAACAUGGGGGGAAGCCUGAACCAGCAAUGCCGGGUGAGUGAUGAAGGCCUUAGGGUUGUAAAGCUCUUUUAACCGGGAUGAUAAUGACAGUACCGGGAGAAUAAGCUCCGGCUAACUCCGUG